rnacentral:rRNA from 1 species
UACAUGUGGGGCAAGCGUUGUUCGGAAUUACUGGGCAUAAAGGGUGCGUAGGUGGCUUGUUAAGUCAGGGGUGAAAGUUUUCGGCCCAACCGGAAAAUGGCCUUUGAUACUGGCGAGCUCGAGUGCGUGAGGGGUAACCGGAACGAGCAGUGUAGCGGUGAAAUGCGUAGAUAUUGCUCGGAAGGCCAACGGCGAAGGCAGGUUACUGGUGCGCAACUGACACUGAGGCACGAAAGCGUGGGAGCAACAGGG